AAUAUCUUAACUUAUUUAUGCUCCAAUGGUUAAGAAGCAAAAAAUUCUUAAGGGAAAAAAUUUAAAUUAUUUAUGUUCUAAUGGUUUUUUUUUCUUUCCUUUUGUUUAUUUGUGUACCCAAUAAAUACACCGCACAUGUCCAAUUCUUAAACUUAAGAAAAUAUAUUAGUUAAGAUAUAAAUCUUAGCUAAUCUUAACUGUUUUUAUU
rnacentral:sRNA from 1 species